rnacentral:rRNA from 1 species
UACGAAGGGUGCUAGCGUUGUUCGGAAUCACUGGGCGUAAAGCGCGCGUAGGCGGCUAUUCAAGUCAGGGGUGAAAUCCUGGGGCUCAACCCCAGAACUGCCUCUGAAACUGUAUAGCUUGAGUGUCGGAGGGGAUAGCGGAAUUCCUAAUGUAGAGGUGAAAUUCGUAGAUAUUAGGAGGAACACCGGUGGCGAAGGCGGCUAUCUGGACGACAACUGACGCUGAGGCGCGAAAGCGUGGGGAUCAAACAGG